rnacentral:rRNA from 1 species
AGAGUUUGAUCCUGGCUCAGGAUGAACGCUGGCGGCGUGCUUAACACAUGCAAGUCGAGCGAAGCGCUCACGCGGAAUUUUUCGGAAGGAAGCGGGAGUGACUUAGCGGCGGACGGGUGAGUAACGCGUGGGUAACCUGCCCCAUACCGGGGGAUAACGGUUAGAAAUGACCGCUAAUACCGCUUAAGCGUGCGAGGCCGCAUGGCCACGCGCGAAAAACUCCGGUGGUAUGGGAUGGGCCCGCGUCUGAUUAGGUAGUUGGCGGGGUAAAGGCCCACCAAGCCGACGAUCAGUAGCCGACCUGAGAGGGUGGCCGGCCACAUUGGGACUGAGACACGGCCCAAACUCCUACGGGAGGCAGCAGUGGGGAAUAUUGCGCAAUGGGGGAAACCCUGACGCAGCAACGCCGCGUGAGUGAAGAAGUAUCUCGGUAUGUAAAGCUCUAUCAGCGGGGAAGAAGGAAGACGGUACCCGACUAAGAAGCCCCGGCUAACUACGUGCCAGCAGCCGCGGUAAUACGUAGGGGGCGAGCGUUAUCCGGAUUUACUGGGUGUAAAGGGAGCGUAGACGGCGUCGCAAGUCUGAAGUGAAAGCCCGUGGCUCAACCGCGGAACCGCUUUGGAAACUGUGAGGCUGGAGUGCUGGAGAGGUAAGCGGAAUUCCUGGUGUAGCGGUGAAAUGCGUAGAUAUCAGGAGGAACACCGGUGGCGAAGGCGGCUUACUGGACAGUGACUGACGUUGAGGCUCGAAAGCGUGGGGAGCGAACAGGAUUAGAUACCCUGGUAGUCCACGCGGUAAACGAUGAGUGCUAGGUGUCGGGGGGCUCACGGGCGCUCGGUGCCGCAGCAAACGCAGUAAGUAUUCCACCUGGGGAGUACGUUCGCAAGAAUGAAACUCAAAGGAAUUGACGGGGGCCCGCACAAGCGGAGGAACAUGUGGUUUAAUUCGAUGAUACGCGAGGAACCUUACCCGGGCUCGAACUGCAGGUGAACGAUUCAGAGAUGAUGAGGUCCUUCGGGACACCUGUGGAGGUGCUGCAUGAUUGUCGUCAGCUCGCGCCGUAAGGUGUCGGCUUAAGUGCCAUAACGAGCGCAACCCCUGUUCUCAGUUGCCAUCGGGUCAUGCCGGGCACUCUGUGAAGACUGCCUCCGUAAGGAGUGAGGAGGGUGGGGAUGACGUCAAAUCAGCACGGCCCUUACGUCCGGGGCUACACACGUGUUACAAUGGGUGAUACAGAGAGUCGGCGGCCGGCAACGUCCGUCUAAUCUAUAAAGUCAUCCUCAGUUCGGACUGGGGUCUGCAACCCGACCCCACGAAGCUGGAUUCGCUAGUAAUCGCGCAUCAGCCAUGGCGCGGUGAAUACGAAAGCGGGCCUUGCACA